ACAUUUAGGCAAGCGCUGGUACCAGCAAACAAACUUACCUGCCAAUGCCAGUGAUGCAAAAUUGGCGUUUCAAACUGGUUUUAACGAAGCUGACCUUUCCUCACAUAGCACUGUGAAAGGAGUGUCAGCUUCUCAAAAACAUGUUUGAAGACCCCAAAACUUGCAUCACUGACACUGGUACCAGCAAACAAACGAACCUGCCAGAGCUUGCCUAAACGUCCCCAUUGCGUUUCGCCUUGUUAAGCUUGAAUUACAGGAAGGUUUCAAAUGACCGUGGAACUGAUUUUUCGUCCAAACAGCCUCUAAAGGCCAAGUCAAUCGUCAUGCCUCAUUGAAGAGCGUAUAGCCCGGCUUUUCAAGUUUCUUUGUCAAGAACUGAUUGGACUUGCAACAUUGAAGGUGGUCUGGAUCAUCAAGGCCACUCUCUAGCAUCCUGGUGAGCAAGAAUGACGAUUGUACCUGUUUUCCGACUGAUGACCACGCUUUCGUCGGAUGACUCGGAUGACAUUGAUGACAAAUAUCAGAUUAACCACCAUCACAAGAACAACGAGAACCCCCAGGUACCAAAUACUAUCGGUGGUGUCCAUCCAACAACUAUGGAACAUGGAAUGCAUCUGAUUAGGCCCCGAGGAUGAAAAAGUGAAGGUCAAACCUUUCCAUCUCUAGCUGGCAAAUGAGCCCAUUUCCAUUGAGCAGCAAUCUUCAAAGGCAAGUUUCUUUUGUGCAUAAUAG